rnacentral:lncRNA from 1 species
GGGAGGCUAGAGAGGAGAGAAACUGCAGGACACAGACACAAAUAAUCAGUCCUGAGAUCUCCUCGUCUUUCCAUCAAUCUCUCCCAUUUUGUGCAUUCCUGUGCAUGCACUCAGGCUGCCACACAGCCCCAUCCUGCUCCAUGAUAUAUCUGAACUAUGGCACCUACUGAAGUCCCACCUACUCUUGCACACCCACGCUCACACACAGCAGGAAGCCAGAGGAGCAGAGUACAAGCACCUCAUGACUGCCUGCAGGUGUCCUUCCCCACCGUUCCUGGACAGCCAACAGCCCUUGUGACAUUUCAGACUCCUGCUCACUCCCCCGCCCACCCACCGAGAGACGUAUCUCUUCCUCUCCAGCUCUCCUCUUUCCACACCUCUGUGUCUGUGCUGUCACCAGGGGCAGGUGGCUGGAAGGAGGGGGCCUUUCUCCAUGGAUUCCCACCGGUUCCUUGUGGCCAUGCUGCUCCCUGUGGGCUGAGCCCUUCAGCAAUCACCCGAUACACUUGCCCAGGUGGGAAACACUGUCACUCUGGAAUGUUCUGGACUGGGGAAUGUAGUCAAGACCAUGUCCUGGUAUAAGUUACCCAUAGAGAAGAAUGCCAGUCUGCAGCUGGUUGUAUAUUCAGUGGAAGGUGGCAAAGCAGAUAUUGAGAAGGAAUUCAAAAAUCGCUUCCAGAGUAAUGGGACUAAGAACAACCAUUUAUCUGUGAAGAUACAGCAUGCCCUACUCAAUGACUCAGGCACAUAUUUCUGUGCUGAACAAGAUCCACAGUGAGUCAAAGGCUGGUGCAGCACAGCACAAACAUUUCCAGGCAAACAGGGAUGUGCCACCAGCACACACUGAGCCCUGUGUUUGACAGAACCCUUUUUUCUGCCCUCCAGCUCUUUAGGAAGGUCUAUGUCUGUCUGUCCAUCUGCAUGUCUUCAGCAUGGUCUCCGUCUGCUUUUCUGUUCUUUCCCAUCUCUGAAUCACCUUCUCACUCUGGUUUCUUCUUGUCCUCACUGUCUCCACUUAUUCUGUGCCAUUCACUGACAGCUUUGCACCUUCCUCCUUCCAAGUCUUUCUGUCUGUCCCCUUGUCCUUUCCCUUCUG